CUGAGGAACCAGAAAGCAAAUCAGGGAAGUGGGGAACAUCUGAGCCUCGGCGGCCCCUUUCACAUCCCUGUCUGCUGUGUUGGUCCUAGGAGGCACCAAAAGGCUCCAUUCUCCAGUUUCAGCCACCUGUCCUUCAGCCACCAGGGUCUUGAAGCUGAAGCUGCCUGCCUAGCCUACCUGCCUUUGCGAUCCCAUCACAUCCCCGAUCUGGCUUCUGGAGACUAGAAAACUGGCAAAAACUGACAAAGCUCUGACAGUUUGGUGCUGGGAGGAAGAGGAGCUGUAUCUUCGUCCCUCUGCCCCCCACCUGGAAAUCUGUGUGAUAUAUUGGAGCAUCUAUUUAUAUAUCGGAAUGAGCACUGGAUUAGGAGUCAGACUUGUGUUCUGUUCGUUUUUUCCUUGCCUCUAAACCCGGAGGAGUUGGAUGAUGACUAAACAAAUGCUUAGAUAAUGGCUCAAAAAAUAACAGUUCACAGAUUUUUUUGAUAGAGGCAAAUGACCUUACAGCUCAUAGAAUGUGUUGGGUUUUUCAAACUUUGUAUUAGCUAUAGGACUGUGUCUUUGAAUACUUUCAGUAUGGAACCCAAAUAUACAAACCCGCUAGAGGCAGAGAUGCUCUGUUAAGCAGAGCAGGUGGCCCAGAACCUUUGCCCUGGGCUUCUGUCUUCCCCAUCCUGACCUCUGGGACCCAGGGACAUGGUUUAAAAAUCAUGGGCCUAAUGAGUUGUGUUCAGGUUCUGAAUGUGGAAACAGGGAUUCUCUCUGGGUCUGACAUGCCUCUGCUGUUCCAGUCCGUUCAGCCUGUACACUGACAAGUGUGCCUUUGCCUGUGCUAUGGUUCUGGCUGCUGGUGAGCCAGGGCGUGAGAGGAGAGAGACAUUAGCCUGGCCCGGGUCAUUUGCCUUCUGGGAGAAGGCAGGAUCAGACUCCAGCCUAAGGAAGUCUCUGGAGGAUUGGGGGUCUGUGGUCACAGCAAAGAUGAGAAGAAGAGUGGGACAGAUGCCCUUGGACCCUUUGCACACCAUCACUUCCACGUCACAAAAUCCAGGCCUCGGGUUCAGGUCUUGUGCUUAAGGAUACAGAGAGGAACAAGACACAGCACCAGUCCUCCAGGAACUCACUCACAUAGGAAUGAAGGGACAGGGAUAAGCCAUCAGGACACUCUGUGUAUGGCCAUCAAAGAGAUGAAGAGGCUUGCCCCAAGUCCCUGCGGGGGCAAAGUCAAGACUGGACUUGGACCUUCUGAUGCCCCAUUCUCAGUGGAAUCCGCAAACACUUAAUGAGUCCCUGCCAUGUGCCCAGCAUUGCUCACCACAGCGGAGAUAGUGGUGAAGAGAACAGAUCCGGACUUGCCCACGCAGAGCUUACAGGGGUGCUAGGAAGCUGCACACUAAAUAAACACUUGUAUGUGCUUAGAGAAGUAGUUGCAAGUGACUUGGAAGAGAAAUGCAGGGUUCAGGGGGGGGCCCCAGACUGUUUGGAGG